rnacentral:tRNA from 1 species
GGCUUUGUGGUCUAGCAGAAUGAUUCUCCCUUCGGGUGGGAGAGGUCCCGGGUGCAAUUCCCGGCAAGGCCC